GACGAACGCUGGCGGCGUGCCUAAUACAUGCAAGUAGAACGCUGAGGAGAGGAGCUUGCUCUUCUUGGAUGAGUGGCGGACGGGUGAGUAACGCGUAGGUAACCUGCCUUGUAGCGUGGGAUAACUAUUGGAAACGAUAGCUAAUACCGCAUAACAAUUUAUAACACAUGGCAUUUAUUUGAAAGGGGCAAUUGCUCCAAUACAAAAUGGACCUCCCUUCUAUUAGCUAGUAGGGGAGGGAAUGGCUCACCUAAGGGACCAUAGAUAGCCGACCUUAGAGGGGGGUACGGCAAAAUGGGAACGGGACCAGGGCCAGAAUCCUUAGGGAGGCAGCAGUAGGGAAUCCUCGGCAAUGGGGGGAAAGCCGACCGAGCAACGGCGCGUGAGUGAAGAAGGUUCUCGGAUCGUAAAGUCCUGUUGUAAGUCAAGAAAGGGUGUGAGAGGGGACAGUUCACACUGUGACGGUAGCUUACCAGAAAGGGACGGCUAACUACGUG
rnacentral:rRNA from 1 species